CCUACGGGUGGCAGCAGUGGGGAAUAUUGCACAAUGGGGGAAACCCUGAUGCAGCAACGCCGCGUGAAGGAAGACGGUUUUCGGAUUGUAAACUUCUGUUCUUAGUGAAGAAUAAUGACGGUAGCUAAGGAGCAAGCCACGGCUAACUACGUGCCAGGAGCCGCGGUAAUUCGCAGGUGGCAAGCGGUGUCCGGAAUUACUGGGUGUAACGGGAGCGCAGGCGGGUAGCCAAGUCAGCUGUGAAAACUACGGGCUUAACUUGUAGCGUGCAGUUGAAACUGGUGUUCUUGAGUGAAGUAGAGGUUGGCGGAAUUCGGAGUGUAGCGGUGAAAUGCGUAGAUAUUCGGAGGAACACCGAUGGCGAAGGCAGCCAACUGGGCUUUAACUGACGCUGAGGCUCGAAAGUGUGGGUAUCGAACAGGAUUAGAUACCCUUGUAGUC
rnacentral:rRNA from 1 species